UAAUUAAGUAGAGGCGCAUAUUUAUAUAAGUAGAACUCAGGAUGCAGUCAGGUGCAGAUGAAUGGGUUGGAAAGGAUGAUAUGCCGAAGCUUUAUAUUUCCUGGAAGAUAUAUUGCUGGGCAUACAGUUAAGAGCUGUAUGACUGUCAUCAUUUUGAUGGAGUGCUGCUUGAAGA
rfam:Coprococcus catus GD/7 draft genome.